CAAACCACAAGCAAUGAAAAUCAUUUUGUUCAUUUUUGUUGGUUCACCCCAAAACUUCUCAAAUUUUUUCCACAUACUUGAUGCCAUUUCACCCAAAAGUUUAUCUUCGGUUGUUAUUAAUCGAUUUAAGUAAACAGCAACUUGACCGAUUGCAAGAAAAUGGACAUUUGAUGUUACAUAAAGUGAUCCAGACACCUUCAAAGUGAGAUUAUAAAAUAUUUCAAGAAAUUGUGCAAUUCUCUUUACA
rnacentral:lncRNA from 1 species